AGCAGCCGCGGUAAUUCCAGCUCCAAUAGACGUAUAUUAAAGUUGUUGCAGUUAAAAAGCUCGUAGUUGAAUUUCGGGGUCAGUAGGUCGGUCGGUGCCACUGGUAUGAACUGGUUUUACUGAUUCCUCCCUCUUGAAGAACUGUAAUGCCAUUAAUUUGGUGUUGCAGGGAAUCAGGACUGUUACUUUGAAAAAAUUAGAGUGUUUAAAGCAGGCUUUAGCUUGAAUACAUUAGCAUGGAAUAAUGAAAUAGGACGUUUGAUCCUAUUUUGUUGGUUUCUAGGAUUGACGUAAUGAUUAAUAGGGAUAGUUGGGGGCAUUAGUAUUCAAUUGUCAGAGGUGAAAUUCUUGGAUUUAUUGAAGACUAACUACUGCGAAAGCAUUUGCCAAGGAUGUUUUCAUUAAUCAAGAACGAAAGUUAGGGGAUCGAAGACGAUCAGAUACCGUCGUAGUCUUAACCAUAAACUAUGCCGACUAGGGAUCGGAUGAUGUUAAUUUUUUAAUGACUCA
rnacentral:rRNA from 1 species